CCCAGAAACACAACAUAGCUCAGUCGGUAGAACAUGAGACUCUCAACCUCAGGGUCGUGGGUUCGAGGGAAAGAUUCCUGCAUUGCUGGGG